rnacentral:lncRNA from 10 species
UCGCUCUCCAUUCUCGCCCAGCCAGAAGCUGUCAUCUCCUGGAUAUGCAUGUUCUUGCUAUUCCAGAAAAUAUUCAAACAUGGACAGAAAUAAUCACAUUUUCGAUGAGCUGGAGGUUGAAGCUUCUGUUCCAGAUGAUUAAUCAGACUUUAUGUGCCUCUCAGAGUUGGGGAGUUUAUGUAGUUUUGGAAAUGGCUUCCUAUUUUAUGCACCAUCUGCUGAGCUGUUAAUAGUGGACAGAUCGCGUUGGCAGCUAGGAGGAGAAGUAAAGGACCCGGUGGAAGGAACCCAGAUAUUUCAGUGUGAUUCUAGGGGACAGUUGUUUGUGAAAUUUGCCAUGACCCUCAUCACUCAGGCACCAGGGCCUCCCUUCCCACCAUGCUGCAGCCUUGGAAGGGCCAAGCCAGUGUUCCUGGCAGGGUCAGACUGCUCAGAUAGGUGGACAGAUAACCCAGCUUUUCACUAACAGUCAGGUUACUUCCAAUAGAAAUGAAGAUGACUGUGGCUUUUUAAGACCUUUCCUUCUGCAGGUAGCAAAUAUACAUAUGAUGGUAACCUCGAGAAAUAUAAGCCUGGCUCUGUGUGGUCCUUUUACUCAUGCAACAAAUUCAAAAGAAAUAAGUGCCUGGACACAUCUGCGCACAUGUCUAACUACGUCGAUUUUUGCUCGUCAUGACAUCGAUUGAGAAUAAUCUGGUAAAUAGAAAGUUUAAUGGCCAGAAGGAGAAGACAGUCCUAAGGUUAAUGACUAAGACACAGAAGCAAGCUUACUGUGACAUCGUUGUCAAAGGAACACAUAGCUUUUGCUGUUGGGUAGUGAUGGUAGAGACAGGGUGGCAUCCACCGAGGCCAUGCGGUCUGGGGACAGGGGCCACCUCCCCCUACCCUGGGCUUUGUGAGAGUCACAGCCUCCGAGUCAGGGAAGAAGCCAAUGCUGUCCUUAGAGUUUAAUUUACAAUGCCGAGGACUUGGCCCAUGGACUUACGAAGGACGAGCAGGGCUUGGAAAGCUGGGAGGCCCCACCCAGCAGGAGAGCAGCUCCAGGUGCCUGUCCAUGGCCCAGAGGAGGCACAGGUGUCCCGGCCACUUCUUCCCACAUGAGGAGAAGGGGCCAGGCAGGAGUGUGUGACACCCACCUAUGCUGCCAUGACAAAUUACCCCAAGCUGGCUGCCUUAAAGCCACGCACACUCGCUCCCCUAGGUUUGGAGGUCAGAAAUCUGAAAUCCACGUCAAUGAGCUGAAAUCGAGGCAUCGGCAGGACUGACUCCUAUUGGAGGCUUUAGGAGAUAAUUUGUUUCUUGCUUCUCCAGCUUCUGGAUUGAAGUUCCUUGGCCCACAGCCGCUUCCUCCUUCUUCAAGCCCCAGCAUGGCACCUCGCUUCAGCCGCCAUACUGCCCUCUCUUCUUCUGUAGGACCUCUCCUUCGGCCCCCCUCUUGUAAGGAUGCCUGUGAUGUCAUCCUUAGGAUGCAUCUAGAUAAUCCAGGAAGAUCUCCCCAGCUCAAGCUUCUCGAUGUCAUCACAUCUUCAGAGUCCUUUUUGCCACAUAAGGUGGCAUUUACAGGGGCCAGGAAUUCAGACCUGAUGUAGGUCCCCUUUCGGGACCCUUGUUCAGCCCUCUGUGGGGGCUAGAGGGGCCCUUGGUCACACGGUCAUAGCCACUGCCGAGGCAGACACAGAAGGGCUCCCUUUGCUAAAGAAGCAUAGCCAAGGGCUGGAGUCACAGCUGAGUCCCUCAAACACUCAUGGAAGGGACGCUUAUUAUGCACCCAGUGUACGUCACCCCCGAGCUGCAGGCUGGCAAUGCAGUCAUUCACUCACUCAUUCAAACAUCCCCACACUCAGGGGACACUCACUGAGGGACGCACCUCCCCAGAAACGUGGAUGGCAUCAGAGUACUUUGCGAGCAGGAUAGAGGCUGCGCUGCACCCAAAACAGCAGAGACAGAUGGGUACAUUAUAGCACAGAGAGCCACUGUGCAGAAGUGAGUACACCAUGGUCUCGGCGCGGAGAAUGGCUUCCACCAGCCCUCUGGGGCCUCGACAGACAGGAAGACUUCAGCAGGCAGUGGUGAGAAACAGGAGACCUCCUGGCUGAAUUGGAGUUGGCCAGGCUGAGAGGAGGAGGCAGGUGCAGUUUCUGGCAGCACUGGGGGUGAAACCUGUGCUUGCCUCUGAGAGCCCCAGUAGAUCCAUGUGCCAAGGAGCAGUGAGCAUACUGGGUAUAAUCUAUCCUCCAUAUAUCUCAGAACUCCACUUCCCCCAACCACCACCUCCCGCUGUUUCUUGUCUGGUCCAGGAAGCAUCUUCUCAUGGCUCAGUGGCUGCCUCCCAGGCAUCUGAAGCUGGGCAGCAGGCCCCGCAGGCAGUUGGCCAGGUUCCCGAGUGACUUGCUGGGGUGAGCACAGCAGCACCCACGUAAGCACCUGAGCACCUGAGAGCCCACAGCCAGGAGCCACCGGGCAGCGGAGAUCAGACUCCUAUGCAGUAGAGAGAACCAGUGCCUGGUCCUGCCCCACCUCUCCUCCGCCUCCCCCAGCUUCCCUCUAUAUUCCCUCAACUGUGUGCUCCUCUCCCUCCGUGUGCUCCUGCCCUCCGUGUGCUCCUGCCCUCCGUCUGCUCCAGCCCUCUGUGGAUCAAAUGAAAUCGCAUGUUUGAGGGGAUUUCAUCAAUCUUAAGACAGCACUGACAGCUUCAAGUGGAAUAGUUGGUGCGAGGCGUGGAUGCAGGCCUGGACCGAGGUGCAGCGGGAGUGCCCUGGUGACUUGGAAAAUGUGAAGGUGGACACAGAGUACCUCCUUCAUAAAAUCAUUAGAGUGAAAUGUUCUUAUCCAGUUAUGCAGUUGACUCUUGGUGGGACCUCAGGAAAAAUUAAUUAACCUAUUUGUUCCUUGCUCUUCUCUUCGGCAAGAGGGGCAAUGCCCUCAUUUUGCAAACGCCCUCUUUUUCUUCAGAAAUUCUGUAAGGCUUGAUGACCUCGUAGCUCUCUAAAUUAUUGGAUGGCACCAAAAAUUCCAGAAGACAGCACAAUGGGCCCAGAAAUUUCCAAAUGUCAAGGAGACUCCAGCAGAGCCUAGCCAUGUCCCUGGAAGCUGCGGAGCAGGCGCGGGGCCCAGACAUGGGUUCUCCCUCCCGGUCACUGUGGACAGCUCUUGUCUCCUCCAGCGAUGUUUGCCCCAUCUGAGCUGCAUCUCCAAGCCUCACCAAACUCAGUCUACUCUGGUGACAGCUUGUACUGUCUGCCAUGAUGGCCGAGGCUUUCUCUUUUCCCUGCGAAGUGAGACCUCUUCCUCACCAUCCAUCCAGCCAACCUUUUCCAGACCCUGACUAUGUGCACCUCCCAUUUCACAGCAUGGUGGGCAGGAGCAACUGAGGCUUCAAAAAAACGGCUUCAACGGACUGGCACAACCAGCUGCAGAGGCCCCUGUCCUUGCAAAGAUUCCAAGUCAUAGCAAAGGUUUUGCAUCUGUGAGAAGGAGCUGCAUUAUUUUAGGAAGAAUCUUUUGGAGUCUGAUGACUUGAGUUCAGAUUUGGGCUCUGACACAAACUACGUGAGCUUAGGCAAGAGGCAUAUUUCAGGCUCAAGAAGAGAUGCAGAGAAGACAGAUGGGUAUCCCA